UACGGGGGGGGCAAGCGUUGUUCGGAAUUACUGGGCGUAAAGGGCUCGUAGGCGGCCGCUUAAGUCAGACGUGAAAUCCCUCGGCUCAACCGGGGCACUGCGUCUGAGACUGAAUGGCUUGAAUCCGGGAGAGGGAUGCGGAAUUCCAGGUGUAGCGGUGAAAUGCGUAGAUAUCUGGAGGAACACCGGUGGCGAAGGCGGUUCUCUGGGAAUAUCCUGACGCUGAGGAGCGAAAGUGUGGGGAGCGAACAGG
rnacentral:rRNA from 1 species